rfam:Oryza barthii chromosome 2, whole genome shotgun sequence.
GAUUUCAACUGAAAAAGUCAUAAACAACAAAGUUGUAUAACUCAUUAAGAUCUAUAACUUUUAUUUUGGUCAUUUCUUCAUCCGACAAAGUGAUAGUAACAUUGUUCAUAAAAUUUACAUCUCUCUCUUAUAAAACUAUAAGAGAGAUGUAAAUUUUAUGAACAAUGUUACUAUCACUUUGUCAGAUGAAGAAAUGACCAAAAUAAAAGUUGUAUGUCUUGAUGAGUUAUACAACUUUUAUGUUCAUGACUUUUUCAGCUGAAUUU